rnacentral:rRNA from 1 species
AUUGAACGCUGGCGGCAGGCCUAACACAUGCAAGUCGAACGAGUGGCGGACGGGUGAGUAAUGUCUGGGAAACUGCCCGAGGGAGGGGGAUAACUACUGGAAACGGUAGCUAAUACCGCAUACCAUCUGAUGUGCCCAGAUGGGAGUAGCUAGUAGGUGGGGUAACGGCUCACCUCGGCGACGAUCCCUAGCUGGUCUGAGAGGAUGACCAGCCUCACUGGAACUGAUGCACGGUCCAGACUCCUACGGGGGGCAGCAGUGGGAAAUAUUGCACACUGGGCGCAAGCCAGCUGCAGCCAUGCCGGGUGUAUGAUGACGGCCUUCGGGUUGUAAACCGCUUUCAGCCAUGACGCGGUGGUUGCAGAAGAAGCACCGGCUAACUACGUGCCAGCAGCCGCGGUAAUAC